rnacentral:ncRNA from 1 species
GUGUAGAGGCGCAUGUGUCAUCAGUAGCAGUUUGGACAGAUAAGGAUGGAGGAAGAAUUGUGAAAGGGACUCGUGCCGAAGAGGAACAUCUCCUUAUAGGUGUUCUGUCUGGAUGUGCAGUUAAGAACUGUAUGUCUGUCACCGAGAGAGAAUUCCGGUAAGUGGGAAUCAGGUGGAGUGCUACGA